rnacentral:rRNA from 1 species
UACGGAGGAUGCGAGCGUUAUCCGGAUUUAUUGGGUUUAAAGGGUGCGUAGGCGGAUUGAUAAGUCAGUGGUGAAAUACUGCAGCUUAACUGUAGAAUUGCCGUUGAUACUGUCAGUCUUGAGUAUGGUUAAGGUAGGCGGAAUGUGUAAUGUAGCGGUGAAAUGCUUAGAUAUUACACAGAACACCGAUUGCGAAGGCAGCUUACUGAGCCAAAACUGACGCUGAGGCACGAAAGCGUGGGGAGCGAACAGG